rnacentral:rRNA from 1 species
AGCGAACGCUGGCGGCAGGCCUAACACAUGCAAGUCGAGCGCCCAGCAAUGGGAGCGGCAGACGGGUGAGUAACGCGUGGGGAUGUGCCCAAUGGUGCGGAAUAACCCAGGGAAACUUGGAUUAAUACCGCAUGUGCCCUUCGGGGGAAAGAUUUAUCGCCAUUGGAUCAACCCGCGUCUGAUUAGCUAGUUGGUGAGGUAAAGGCUCACCAAGGCGACGACCAGUAGCUGGUCUGAGAGGAUGAUCAGCCACACUGGGACUGAGACACGGCCCAGACUCCUACGGGAGGCAGCGGUGGGGAAUAUUGGACAAUGGGCGCAAGCCUGAUCCAGCCAUGCCGCGUGAGUGAUGAAGGCCUUAGGGUUGUAAAGCUCUUUCGCCGGUGAAGAUAAUGACGGUAACCGGAGAAGAAGCCCCGGCUAACUUCGUGCCAGCAGCCGCCGUAACAC